rnacentral:rRNA from 1 species
GUAAAAUCCUUUGAUCUAUUGAUGACCACCUGUGGCGAAGGCGGUCUACCAGAACAUGUCCGACGGUGAGGGAUGAAAGCUGGGGGAGCAAACCGGAUUAGAUACCCGGGUAGUCCCANGCUGUAAACUAUGCAAACUCGGUGAUGCAUUGGCUUGAUGCCAAUGCAGCGCCGCAGGGAAGCCGUUAAGUUUGCCGCCUGGGAAGUACGUACGCAAGUAUGAAACUUAAAGGAAUUGGCGGGAAGGGCGAAUUCGU